rnacentral:rRNA from 1 species
GACGAACGCUGGCGGCGUGCUUAACACAUGCAAGUCGAACGGUGAAGCGCCUUCCUUUUUGGUGGGUGUGGAUGAGUGGCGAACGGGUGAGUAACACGUGAGUAACCUGCCCCCUUCUUCUGGAUAACCGCAUGAAAGUGUGGCUAAUACGGGAUAUUCUGGGUCUGUCGCAUGAUGGGUCUGGGAAAGAUAUUGUUUCGGUGGGGGAUGGGCUCGCGGCCUAUCAGCUUGUUGGUGGGGUGAUGGCCUACCAAGGCGGUGACGGGUAGCCGGCCUGAGAGGGUGGACGGUCACACUGGGACUGAGACACGGCCCAGACUCUUACGGGAGGCAGCAGUGGGGAAUAUUGCACAAUGGGCGCAAGCCUGAUGCAGCGACGCCGCGUGAGGGAUGGAGGCCUUCGGGUUGUGAACCUCUUUCGCCAGUGAAGCAGGCCUGCCUCGUUUGUGGGUGGGUUGACGGUAGCUGGAUAAGAAGCGCCGGCUAACUACGUG